rnacentral:rRNA from 1 species
AUUGAACGCUGGCGGCAUGCCUUACACAUGCAAGUCGAACGGUAGAGGGGGCAACCCCUUGAGAGUGGCGAACGGGUGAGUAAUGCAUCGGAACGUGCCCAGUCGUGGGGGAUAACGCAGCGAAAGCUGUGCUAAUACCGCAUACGAUCUCUGGAUGAAAGCGGGGGACCGAAAGGCCUCGCGCGAUUGGAGCGGCCGAUGUCAGAUUAGGUAGUUGGUGGGGUAAAGGCUCACCAAGCCAACGAUCUGUAGCUGGUCUGAGAGGACGACCAGCCACACGGGGACUGAGACACGGCCCAGACUCCUACGGGAGGCAGCAGUGGGGAAUUUUGGACAAUGGGCGCAAGCCUGAUCCAGCAAUGCCGCGUGCAGGAAGAAGGCCGUCGGGUUGUAAACUGCUUUUGUACGGAACGAAAAGGUCUGGCUUAAUACCCUGGGCACAUGACGGUACCGUAAGAAUAAGCACCGGCUAACUACGUGCCAGCCGCCGCCGUAA